rnacentral:rRNA from 1 species
AUAGCCUAGGAGAUACACCUGUUCCCAUGCCGAACACAGAAGUUAAGCCCUAGUACGCCUGAUGUAGUUGGGGGUUGCCCCUUGUUAGAUACGGUAGUCGCUUAGC